rnacentral:tRNA from 1 species
GGGGAUUUAGCUCAGUUGCAUAAGUGCCUGCCUUGCAAGCAGGCAGUUGUGAGUUCAAUCCCUG